rnacentral:rRNA from 1 species
GACGAACGCUGGCGGUGUGCCUACUACAUGCCUGUAGAACGCACAGGUUAUACCGUCGCUUGCUCCCCCAUAGUCUGUGAGUUGCGUACGGGCGAGUAACGCGUAGGUAACCUGCCUGGUAGCGGGCGAUAACUAUUGGAAACGAUAGCUAUUCCCGCACACUACUCUUUAUCCCAGGUAGUUUACUGGAAGGCAUCACUUGCACUGCUGAAAGGUGGUCCCGCGUUCGAUUACCUAGUAGGCGAGACAACGGCUCACCUAGGCGACGAUACAUAGCCGACCUGAGAGGGUGAUCGGCCACACUGGGACCGAGACACGGCCCAUACGCCGACGGGAGGCAGCAGUAGGGAAUCUUCGGCAAUGGACGAAAGUCUGAGCGAGCAACGCCGCGUGAGUGAAGAAGGGUUUCGGAUCGUAAAGCUCUGUUGUAAGAGAAGAACGAGGGUGAGAGUGGAAAGUUCACACUGUGACGGUAGCUUAGCAGAAAGGGACGGCUAACUACGUG